rnacentral:lncRNA from 1 species
GGGAAAGUCUGGCUUGGGAGCUCCGUGGAGGGGAGUUCUGAUUUAGGAGGUUCGGUGUGGGGAGGUCUAGGACGGGAGUCCGGCGUGGGGAGGCCCGGCACGGGGAAGUCCGAGGUGGGAGUCCGGCGUGGGGAGGCCCCAGGUUGGAAGUCCGACGUUGGGAGGCCGGGAGGCUCACUCUGUUGGAGGUGAGAGUGGUGGGCAGGCCGGGGCCCCCCGGUGAACGGCGCACGGUCGGGCCCGGGACAGGGUCGCGGGAGUCAGUCUCCGCGCGGUGGAGUAGGAGACGAGCCCCUGGACAAUGGGUUUAGGUGGUCUUUUGCCUGCAGGGCGCGCGGGGGAGGAAGGAGCCACGCCUUUCCGCCCCUUCCGGUCAGUGACUCUCCCCCAAACCUAGGCUCUCCACAUGGCCUUCCCGGCGGAGCCAGCUGUGUCCUUCAGUUGAGGAUUACUCAUCACAAGGGGCCCCAUUUCAAAAGCCAAUUGCAAGCCAGCAGAACCUUUCUGCUCUCUCCCCCAUUCAAUGUGAGGUCACAUACAGCUCAAUCAGUUUGAUGCUUAAGUUCUUCAUUAUGGUAAGUUAAUCAGAGCUCUCUAUUUUAAAGCUUCAACACCAGUUCAAGCUAAAGCAGCAAAUAAAGACUUAAUAGUUUUAUGAAAAUAGCA